rnacentral:rRNA from 1 species
AUUGAACGCUGGCGGCAGGCCUAACACAUGCAAGUCGAGCGGUAGAGAGAAGCUUGCUUCUCUUGAGAGCGGCGGACGGGUGAGUAAUGCCUAGGAAUCUGCCUGGUAGUGGGGGAUAACGCUCGGAAACGGACGCUAAUACCGCAUACGUCCUACGGGAGAAAGCAGGGGACCUUCGGGCCUUGCGCUAUCAGAUGAGCCUAGGUCGGAUUAGCUAGUUGGUGAGGUAAUGGCUCACCAAGGCGACGAUCCGUAACUGGUCUGAGAGGAUGAUCAGUCACACUGGAACUGAGACACGGUCCAGACUCCUACGGGAGGCAGCAGUGGGGAAUAUUGGACAAUGGGCGAAAGCCUGAUCCAGCCAUGCCGCGUGUGUGAAGAAGGUCUUCGGAUUGUAAAGCACUUUAAGUUGGGAGGAAGGGCAGUAACCUAAUACGUUGCUGUCUGACGUACCGACAG